AUUGAACGCUGGCGGCAUGCUUUACACAUGCAAGUCGAACGGUAACAGGUUAAGCUGACGAGUGGCGAACGGGUGAGUAAUGCAUCGGAACGUGCCCGGUCGUGGGGGAUAACGCAGCGAAAGCUGCGCUAAUACCGCAUACGAUCUGAGGAUGAAAGCGGGGGACCGUAAGGCCUCGCGCGAUCGGAGCGGCCGAUGUCAGAUUAGGUAGUGGGUGGGGUAAAGGCUCACCAAGCCAACGAUCUGUAGCUGGUCUGGGAGGACGACCAGCCACACUGGGACUGAGACACGGCCCAGACUCCUACGGGGGGCAGCAGUGGGGAAUUUUGGACAAUGGGCGAAAGCCUGAUCCAGCAAUGCCGCGUGCAGGAAGAAGGCCUUCGGGUUGUAAACUGCUUUUGUACGGAGCGAAAAGGUCUCCUCUAAUACAGGGGGCUCAUGACGGUACCGUAAGAAUAAGCACCGGCUAACUACGUGCCAGCAGCCGCGGUAA
rnacentral:rRNA from 1 species